rnacentral:rRNA from 1 species
GAUGAACGCUAGCGGCAGGCUUAACACAUGCAAGUCGAGGGGCAGCAUGAAGGUUAGCAAUAACCUUUGAUGGCGACCGGCGCAAGGGUGCGUAACGCGUGAGCAACUUGCCCGUUUCAGGGGGAUAACCGGUGGAAACGCCGACUAAUACCCCAUGGCAUCAUUGGGAGGCAUCUCCUUCUGAUUAAAGAAUUUCGGAAACGGAUAGGCUCGCGUGACAUUAGCUAGACGGCGGGGUAACGGCCCACCGUGGCGACGAUGUCUAGGGGUUCUGAGAGGAAGGUCCCCCCACACUGGAACUGAGACACGGUCCAGACUCCUACGGGAGGCAGCAGUGAGGAAUAUUGGUCAAUGGUCGAAAGACUGAACCAGCCAUGCCGCGUGAAGGUCACGGCCCUAUGGGUCUUAAACUUCUUUUGUAAGGGAGCAAUAAGGUUCACGUGUGGACUGAUGAGAGUACCUUACGAAUAAGCAUCGGCUAACUCCGUAG